GGCGGCGUGCUUAACACAUGCAAGUCGAACGAUGAAGCCUUUCGGGGUGGAUUAGUGGCGAACGGGUGAGUAACACGUGGGCAAUCUGCCCUUCACUCUGGGACAAGCCCUGGAAACGGGGUCUAAUACCGGAUAACACUCUGUCCCGCAUGGGACGGGGUUAAAAGCUCCGGCGGUGAAGGAUGAGCCCGCGGCCUAUCAGCUUGUUGGUGGAAGGUAAUGGCCUACCAAGGCGACGACGGGUAGCCGGCCGAGGGCGACCGGCCACACUGGGACUGAGACACGGCCCAGACUCCUACGGGAGGCAGCAGUGGGGAAUAUUGCACAAUGGGCGAAAGCCUGAUGCAGCGACGCCGCGUGAGGGAUGACGGCCUUCGGGUUGUAAACCUCUUUCAGCAGGGAAGAAGCGAGAGUGACGGUACCUGCAGAAGAAGCGCCGGCUAACUACGUGCCAGCAGCCGCGGUAAUACGUAGGGCGCAAGCGUUGUCCGGAAUUAUUGGGCGUAAAGAGCUCGUAGGCGGCUUGUCACGUCGGAUGUGAAAGCCCGGGGCUUAACCGCCCCGGGUCUGCAUUCGAUACGGGCUAGCUAGAGUGUGGUAGGGGAGAUCGGAAUUCCUGGUGUAGCGGUGAAAUGCGCAGAUAUCAGGAGGAACACCGGUGGCGAAGGCGGAUCUCUGGGCCAUUACUGACGCUGAGGAGCGAAAGCGUGGGGAGCGAACAGGAUUAGAUACCCUGGUAGUCCACGCCGUAAACGUUGGGAACUAGGUGUUGGCGACAUUCCACGUCGUCGGUGCCGCAGCUAACGCAUUAAGUUCCCCGCCUGGGGAGUACGGCCGCAAGGCUAAAACUCAAAGGAAUUGACUGGGGGCCCGCACAAGCAGCGGAGCAUGUGGCUUAAUUCGACGCAACGCGAAGAACCUUACCAAGGCUUGACAUAUAGCCGGAAAGCAUCAGAGAUGGUGCCCCCCUUGUGGUCGGUAUACAGGUGGUGCAUGGCUGUCGUCAGCUCGUGUCGUGAGAUGUUGGGUUAAGUCCCGCAACGAGCGCAACCCUUGUUCUGUGUUGCCAGCAUGCCCUUCGGGGUGAUGGGGACUCACAGGAGACUGCCGGGGUCAACUCGGAGGAAGGUGGGGACGACGUCAAGUCAUCAUGCCCCUUAUGUCUUGGGCUGCACACGUGCUACAAUGGCCGGUACAAUGAGCUGCGAUGCCGCGAGGCGGAGCGAAUCUCAAAAAGCCGGUCUCAAGUUCGGAUUGGGGUCUGCAACUCGACCCCAUGAAGUCGGAGUUGCUAGUAAUCGCAGAUCAGCAUUGCUGCUUGAAUACGUUCCCGGGCCUUGUACACACCGCCCGUCACGUCACGAAAGUCGGUAACACCCGAAGCCGGUGGCCCUUGUGGGAGGGAGCUGUCGAAGGUGGGACUGGCGAUUGGGACGAAGUCGUAACAAGGUAGCCG
rnacentral:rRNA from 1 species